rnacentral:rRNA from 1 species
UUAAGCGACUAAGCGUACACGGUGGAUGCCCUGGCAGUCAGAGGCGAUGAAGGACGUGCUAAUCUGCGAAAAGCGUCGGUAAGGUGAUAUGAACCGUUAUAACCGGCGAUGUCCGAAUGGGGAAACCCAGUGUGUUCCGACACACUAUCAUUAACUGAAUCCAUAGGUUAAUGAGGCGAACCGGGGGAACUGAAACAUCUAAGUACCCCGAGGAAAAGAAAUCAACCGAGAUUCCCCCAGUAGCGGCGAGCGAACGGGGAGGAGCCCAGAGCCUGAAUCAGUGUGUGUGUUAGUGGAAGCGUCUGGAAAGGCGCGCGAUACAGGGUGACAGCCCCGUACACAAAAAUGCACAUGCUGUGAGCUCGAUGAGUAGGGCGGGACACGUGGUAUCCUGUCUGAAUAUGGGGGGACCAUCCUCCAAGGCUAAAUACUCCUGACUGACCGAUAGUGAACCAGUACCGUGAGGGAAAGGCGAAAAGAACCCCGGCGAGGGGAGUGAAAAAGAACCUGAAACCGUGUACGUACAAGCAGUGGGAGCCCUGAUUUAUCAGGGUGACUGCGUACCUUUUGUAUAAUGGGUCAGCGACUUAUAUUCUGUAGCAAGGUUAACCGAAUAGGGGAGCCGGAGGGAAACCGAGUCUUAACUGGGCGUUAAGUUGCAGGGUAUAGACCCGAAACCCGGUGAUCUAGCCAUGGGCAGGUUGAAGGUUGGGUAACACUAACUGGAGGACCGAACCGACUAAUGUUGAAAAAUUAGCGGAUGACUUGUGGCUGGGGGUGAAAGGCCAAUCAAACCGGGAGAUAGCUGGUUCUCCCCGAAAGCUAUUUAGGUAGCGCCUCGUGAAUUCAUCUCCGGGGGUAGAGCACUGUUUCGGCAAGGGGGUCAUCCCGACUUACCAACCCGAUGCAAACUGCGAAUACCGGAGAAUGUUAUCACGGGAGACACACGGCGGGUGCUAACGUCCGUCGUGAAGAGGGAAACAACCCAGACCGCCAGCUAAGGUCCCAAAGUCAUGGUUAAGUGGGAAACGAUGUGGGAAGGCCCAGACAGCCAGGAUGUUGGCUUAGAAGCAGCCAUCAUUUAAAGAAAGCGUAAUAGCUCACUGGUCGAGUCGGCCUGCGCGGAAGAUGUAACGGGGCUAAACCAUGCACCGAAGCUGCGGCAGCGACGCUGAUGCGUUGUUGGGUAGGGGAGCGUUCUGUAAGCCUGUGAAGGUGUGCUGUGAGGCAUGCUGGAGGUAUCAGAAGUGCGAAUGCUGACAUAAGUAACGAUAAAGCGGGUGAAAAGCCCGCUCGCCGGAAGACCAAGGGUUCCUGUCCAACGUUAAUCGGGGCAGGGUGAGUCGACCCCUAAGGCGAGGCCGAAAGGCGUAGUCGAUGGGAAACAGGUUAAUAUUCCUGUACUUGGUGUUACUGCGAAGGGGGGACGGAGAAGGCUAUGUUGGCCGGGCGACGGUUGUCCCGGUUUAAGCGUGUAGGCUGAUUUUCCAGGCAAAUCCGGAGAAUCAAGGCUGAGGCGUGAUGACGAGGCACUACGGUGCUGAAGCAACAAAUGCCCUGCUUCCAGGAAAAGCCUCUAAGCAUCAGGUAACAUCAAAUCGUACCCCAAACCGACACAGGUGGUCAGGUAGAGAAUACCAAGGCGCUUGAGAGAACUCGGGUGAAGGAACUAGGCAAAAUGGUGCCGUAACUUCGGGAGAAGGCACGCUGAUAUGUAGGUGAAGCGACUUGCUCGUGGAGCUGAAAUCAGUCGAAGAUACCAGCUGGCUGCAACUGUUUAUUAAAAACACAGCACUGUGCAAACACGAAAGUGGACGUAUACGGUGUGACGCCUGCCCGGUGCCGGAAGGUUAAUUGAUGGGGUCAGCGCAAGCGAAGCUCUUGAUCGAAGCCCCGGUAAACGGCGGCCGUAACUAUAACGGUCCUAAGGUAGCGAAAUUCCUUGUCGGGUAAGUUCCGACCUGCACGAAUGGCGUAAUGAUGGCCAGGCUGUCUCCACCCGAGACUCAGUGAAAUUGAACUCGCUGUGAAGAUGCAGUGUACCCGCGGCAAGACGGAAAGACCCCGUGAACCUUUACUAUAGCUUGACACUGAACACUGGUCCUUGAUGUGUAGGAUAGGUGGGAGGCUUUGAAGUGUGGACGCCAGUCUGCAUGGAGCCGUCCUUGAAAUACCACCCUUUAAUGGCUGGUGUUCUAACGUUGGCCCGUAAUCCGGGUUGCGGACAGUGUCUGGUGGGUAGUUUGACUGGGGCGGUCUCCUCCUAAAGAGUAACGGAGGAGCACGAAGGUUGGCUAAUCCUGGUCGGACAUCAGGAGGUUAGUGCAAUGGCAUAAGCCAGCUUGACUGCGAGCGUGACGGCGCGAGCAGGUGCGAAAGCAGGUCAUAGUGAUCCGGUGGUUCUGAAUGGAAGGGCCAUCGCUCAACGGAUAAAAGGUACUCCGGGGAUAACAGGCUGAUACCGCCCAAGAGUUCAUAUCGACGGCGGUGUUUGGCACCUCGAUGUCGGCUCAUCACAUCCUGGGGCUGAAGUAGGUCCCAAGGGUAUGGCUGUUCGCCAUUUAAAGUGGUACGCGAGCUGGGUUUAGAACGUCGUGAGACAGUUCGGUCCCUAUCUGCCGUGGGCGCUGGAGAACUGAGGGGGGCUGCUCCUAGUACGAGAGGACCGGAGUGGACGCAUCACUGGUGUUCGGGUUGUCAUGCCAAUGGCACUGCCCGGUAGCUAAAUGCGGAAGAGAUAAGUGCUGAAAGCAUCUAAGCACGAAACUUGCCCCGAGAUGAGUUCUCCCUGAGACUUUAAGUCUCCUGAAGGAACGUUGAAGACGACGACGUUGAUAGGCCGGGUGUGUAAGCGCAGCGAUGCGUUGAGCUAACCGGUACUAAUGAACCGUGAGGCUUAACCUU